GUUGAAAAGCUUUUGGAUGAGGUGUGGAUAGGGGUGAAAUGCCAAUCGAACGUGGAGAUAGCUGGUUCUCCCCGAAAUAGCUUUAGGGCUAGCCUCAUGGCAAGAGUGCAGGCGGUAGAGCACUGAACAGGGUAGGGGCCUAUCCGGCUACCGAACCUAAUCAAACUACGAAUGGCUGUACUUAUCCAUGGGAGUCAGACUGCGAGUGAUAAGACCCGUAGUCAAGAGGGAAACAGCCCAGACCAACAGCUAAGGUCCCCAAUGCCGUACUAAGUGGUAAAGGAUGUGGAGUUUCGAAAACAACCAGGAUGUUGGCUUAGAAGCAGCCACCAUUAAAAGAGUGCGUAAUAGCUCACUGGUCGAGAGACUCUGCGCCGAAGAUGACCGGGGCUAAAGUACGGAACCGAAGCUUUGGCAUGUAUGUAAAUACAUGGGUAGGGGAGCGUUCCUGCAUGGGCGAAGCCUGACCGGAAGGACAGGUGGACAGGCAGGAAGUGAGAAUGCCGGUAUGAGUAGCGAAAAGAAAGGUGAGAAUCCUUUCCACCGAAAGCCUAAGGGUUCCUGGGCAACGAUCGUCGACCCAGGGUAAGUCGGGACCUAAUCCGAGGCGAAGACGCAUAGGAGAUGGACAACAGGUUGAAAUUCCUGUACCGACGUCGUCUGUUUGAGCGAUGGAGUGACACAAGAAGGAAAGUUCGCAUGCGAUUGGAAGAGCAUGUCUAAGCAGGUAGGUUGAAUACCAGGCAAAUCCGGUAUUCUAAAAGCCGAGAAGUGAUAGGGAGCCUGUAGAAAUACAGGUGAAGGAACCGGGACUCGAUUGUCAAGAAAAGCUUCUAGUGAGGACGACGUCGCCCGUACCAAAACCGACACAGGUAGGCAAGAAGAGAAUUCUAAGGUGCGCGGGAAAACCCUCGUUAAGGAACUCGGCAAAAUGUAUCCGUAACUUCGGGAAAAGGAUAACCCAGAGUACGUGAAGGAUAGAAACAUCCGGAGCGGGAAUGGGUGGCACAAGAGAGGCCCAAGCGACUGUUUACCACAAACACAGGCGUCUGCUAAAGAGAAAUCUGAUGUAUAGAUGCUGACACCUGCCCGGUGCUGGAAGGUUAAGAGGACGUGUUAGCCGUAAGGCGAAGCAGAGAAUUGAAGCCCCAGUAAACGGCGGCCGUAACUAUAACGGUCCUAAGGUAGCGAAAUUCCUUGUCGGGUAAGUUCCGACCCGCACG
rnacentral:rRNA from 1 species